CAGCCGCCGCGGUAAUACGUAGGGCGCGAGCGUUGUCCGGAAUCAUUGGGCGUAAAGCGCGUGUAGGCGGCUGAGUAAGUCUGCUGUGAAAGUCCAGGGCUCAACCCUGGAAUGUCGGCGGAUACUGCUUGGCUAGAGUACGGGAGGGGCGAGUGGAAUUCCUGGUGUAGCGGUGGAAUGCGCAGAUAUCAGGAGGAACACCUAUGGCGAAGGCAGCUCGCUGGAACGUUACUGACGCUGAGACGCGAAAGCGUGGGGAGCAAACAGGAUUAGAUACCCCGGUAGUCCCUGUCUCUUAUAC
rnacentral:rRNA from 1 species